CCUAUCCUCAGACUUCUGAUCGCAGACUGAUUCCCAAACAACUGACCGUGGCUAAGGAGGAGCACACAAUGACAGCAGUGAGAACAAGAUGAUGACAUUAUGCACUGUAUGUGACUAUCUGGAAUAUUUUCUACAACGCCAAUGUGAGUAGUGGGAUGAGGGAUCCAAGACCUCACAGUCUGAUUCGCCCUUACCGGACAUGGCAUCUACACAGCAUAGAAAAUAAAACUUUUCACUAUCCAUUUUCAUUU